GUGUGUUUCUCCUCUUAGACUCUCAGCUGAAGAAGUGUCUUUAGAAUAAAUCUCUUGACAUUUAUUUUGGUCCUUCGAAGCCGGGGCAGAAACAUCAGAACUGUUAUCUGUGACUCUGUUCCAGGAUCCAGCACUGAUUCCUGACGCCGUGGGAAGCCAGCACCGAAGUCUGUGCACAGCCCUCUUAGACGAGGCCGAAAGACCUGGGACGCUAAAAUUCGGGUCCAGGCCGGUGUUUUUAGUCUGGUCCAUGGCGGUGGGAUUCAGUCUGGCGAUCCGAACCACCAGUGAGACAUCUGAGGGUGAGAGAAACACUAUUUUGGUUAGGAAUCGCCGUAAUGAACCGAAUAACAAACAAAAUAGAAAAAUAAAAUAGGUUAGGAUUCGCCAAAAUGAACCGAAUUAGACUUAGGUUUUAGAAGUAGCCGUAAUUACUUCAUAACAAAUUGUAAAAGCGCGCAAAUGUCUAUGUGUGUAUGUGUCUAGAAGUAAGUUAAUUUUACAGCACAAUACGCUGCUGAACUACUUCUAUUUUAUUUUGUUCUUUGCUUGAGGCUCACGUACUGGUGACAGAGGAGAACGGUUGAGCUUCAUCUCAUAAAACUGAUACCGCUUCACCUCUAGGGUGAAGUCGAAGGCCGUAUCAGUAAACCACUCUGAAGUCAAGCGUGCCAGCGAAGGCCCAGCAAAAUCUUUAAAAACGGGGAAUAAACAAGCAAAAUUAACACCUGAUGAGGGAUGGUUAGAAAAACAACAAACCGGAGCAGGAAUAAUCCAAAAGAAGGGGAGAGGAAUGGAGAGGACGACAGGCAAAAAAGAGUAAAAGCAUUAACAAACAAAGAAGACAGUGACUCAGAACAGGAUAGCAGCUCAGGUGAAGAGAAUAGUUCAGAUCAGGAAGAACAUAAUAAUCCCUCACCAAGUGAAAAAUUCAAGAUCAAAG